ensembl:lncRNA
CUCACAAAAGAUUGAUCUCUUUCUAGUAUCUCAGUUUGUUCCCGGAUCUUUUUUUCUCUCUUUCCAGUUCCUCUGUUUCUUUCUGGAUUUCAGACCUCAUGAUAUCCAAGUCAAGGUUGUCUUUGUUGAUUGUUUCUUUAACUGUGUCCAGAUAUUUGCUUUGCCUGUCUACUGCUUCCUUUUCCGUAUUGAGAUCUUGUUUCUCCAGUAGCAGCUCCUCGUUCCAAUUCUUUUGCAUUUCUUGUUUUUGUACCAUCAUGUCCAAUUUCAUAUUGAUCAGAUCUUCUCUGUGUCUUUGUAUUUGUUUAAAGUGUCUGUCAAUCUCCAAUUUCUGCUCUUCCAUUUCUUUUUGCUGAAUUCCCAAGUUAGUUGUCUGAUUUUGUGCAUCCAGAAUCAUCUGCUCUCUGAAUUGCAUCUUCAUUGUAAUAUCUUGAUGUGUCUUUUCAACCAACUCUUUUAUUGCCUCUUUCAUAUUUGUAUUGUUUCUUAUCGUUUGCAUGGCCUCUUCUUCUCUCAUCCUUACUUCCGACAAAUCUCUUUCUAGCAUCGUCCUUUCGUCCAAGGCCUUUCUUCGCUCUUCAUGAAUAUCAAGCUUCUCUUGUUCAAGCUGUGCUGUCCCUUCAAAGAUUCUUUCCACGAUCACUUUAAGCUCCUCCUUCUUAUUCAUGACAUCACUCUUAAAACGUUGAACUUCCUCCUGUUGUUUUAUUAGAUUUUCCUGCCCAAUUUGGAGAUCAUCAGUCAAUCGUUUCAGGUCACUGUCUAGAAGCUCUUGUUGUUUCUGUUUUUGGGCCAUGUGUUGUAUCUGUUUAUGAAGUUCUUGGAUUUUCUUUUGGCCUUCAAGAAGUAAAUGGUCCAUCUUUUCUCUGUCACUGUUCAAAUCGCUCUGUAGACCAUGAACUUUGUCUUGCUUUUCUUGAGUUCCGCCUUUGCCAUUUCAAGUCUUCUUUUUCUACUCUCACAAAAGAUUGAUCUCUUUCUAGUAUCUCAGUUUGUUCCCGGAUCUUUUCUUUCUCUCUUUCCAGUGCCUCUGUUUCUUUCUGGAUUUCAGACCUCAUGAUAUCCAAGUCAAGGUUGUCUUUGUUGAUUGUUUCUUUAACUUUGUGUCCAGAUAUUUGCUUUGCCUGUCUACUGCUUCCUUUUCCGUAUUGAGAUCUUGUUUCUCCAGUAGCAGCUCCUCGUUCCAAUUCUUUUGCAUUUCUUGUUUUUGUACCAUCAUGUCCGAUUUCAUAUUGAUCAGAUCUUCUCUGUGUCUUUGUAUUUGUUCAAAGUGUGUGUCAAUCUCCAAUUUUGCUCUUCCAUUUCUUUUUGCUGAAUUUCCAAGUUAGUUGUCUGAUUUUGUGCAUCCAGAAUCUUCUGCUCUAUGAAUUGCAUCUUCAUUGUAAUGUCUUGAUGUGUCUUUUCAACCAACUCUUUUAUUGCCUCUUUCAUAUUUGUGUUGUUUCUUAUCGUUUGCAUGGCCUCUUCUUCUCUCAUCCUUACUUCCGACAAAUCUCUUUCUAGCAUCGUCCUUUCGUCCAAGGCCUUUCUUCGCUCUUCAUAAAUAUCAUGCUUCUCUUGUUCAAGCUGUGCUGUCCCUUCAAAGAUUCUUUCCACGAUCAAUUUAAACUCCUCCUUCUUAUUCAUGACAUCACUCUUAAAACGUUGAACUUCCUCCUGUUGUUUUAUUAGAUUUUCCUGCCCAAUUUGGAGAUCAUCAGUCAAUCGUUUCAGGUCACUGUCUAGAAGCUCUUGUUGUUUCUGUUUUUGGGCCAUGUGUUGUAUCUCUUUAUGAAGUUCUUGGAUUUUCUUUUGGCCUUCAAGAAGUAAAUGGUCCAUCUUUUCUCUGUCACUGUUCAAAUCGCUCUGUAGACCAUGAACUUUGUCUUGCUUUUCUUGGAGUUCCGCCUUUGCCAUUUCAAGUCUUUCUUUUUCUACUCUCACAAAAGAUUGAUCUCUUUCUAGUAUCUCAGUUUGUUCCCGGAUCUUUUCUUUCUCUCUUUCCAGUGCCUCUGUUUCUUUCUGGAUUUCAGACCUCAUGAUAUCCAAGUCAAGGUUGUCUUUGUUGAUUAUUUCUUUAACUGUGUCCAGAAAUUUACUUUGCCUGUCUACUGCUUCCUUUUCCGUAUUGAGAUCUUGUUUCUCCAGUAGCAGCUCCUCGUUCCAAUUCUUUUGCAUUUCUUGUUUUUGUACCAUCAUGUCCGAUGUCAUAUUGAUCAGAUCUUCUCUGUGUCUUUGUAUUUGUUCAAAGUGUGUGUCAAUCUCCAAUUUUUGCUCUUCCAUUUCUUUUUGCUGGAAUUCCAAGUUAGUUGUCUGAUUUUGUGCAUCCAGAAUCUUCUGCUCUAUGAAUUGCAUCUUCAUUGUAAUGUCUUGAUGUGUCUUUUCAACCAACUCUUUUAUUGCCUCUUUCAUAUUUGUGUUGUUUCUUAUCGUUUGCAUGGCCUCUUCUUCUCUCAUCCUUACUUCCGACAAAUCUCUUUCUAGCAUCGUCCUUUCGUCCAAGGCCUUUCUUCGCUCUUCAUAAAUAUCAAGCUUCUCUUGUUCAAGCUGUGCUGUCCCUUCAAAGAUUCUUUCCACAAUCACUUUAAGCUCCUCCUUCUUAUUCAUGACAUCACUCUUACAACGUUGAACUUCCUCCUGUUGUUUUAUUAGAUUUUCCUGCCCAAUUUGGAGAUCAUCAGUCAAUCGUUUCAGGUCACUGUCUAGAAGCUCAUGUUGUUUCUGUUUUUGGGCCAUCUGUUGUAUCUGUUUAUGAAGUUCUUGGAUUUUCUUUUGGCCUUCAAGAAGUAAAUGGUCCAUCUUUUCUCUGUCACUGUUCAAAUCGCUCUGUAGACCAUGAACUUUAUCUUGCUUUUCUUGGAGUUCCGCCUUUGCCAUUUCAAGUCUUUCUUUUUCUACUCUCACAAAAGAUUGAUCUCUUUCUAGUAUCUCAGUUUGUUCCCAUAUCUUUUCUUUCUCUCUUUCCAGUGUCUCUGUUUCUUUCUGGAUUUCAGACCUCAUGAUAUCCAAGUCAAGGUUGUCUUUGUUGAUUAUUUCUUUAACUGUGUCCAGAUAUUUGCUUUGCCGGUCUACUGCUUCCUUUUCCGUACUGAGAUCUUGUUUCUCCAGUAGCAGCUCCUCGUUCCAAUUCUUUUGCAUUUCUUGUUUUUGUACCAUCAUGUCCGAUUUCAUAUUGAUCAGAUCUUCUCUGUGUCUUUGUAUUUGUUCAAAGUGUGUGUCAAUCUCCAAUUUCUGCUCUUUCAUUCCUUUUUGCUGAAUUUCCAAGUUAGUUGUUUGAUUUUGUGCAUCCAGAAUCUUCUGCUCUAUGAAUUGCAUCUUCAUUGUAAUGUCUUGAUGUGUCUUUUCAACCAACUCUUUUAUUGCCUCUUUCAUAUUUGUGUUGUGUCUUAUCGUUUGCAUGGCCUCUUCUUCUCUCAUCCUUACUUCCGACAAAUCUCUUUCUAGCAUCGUCCUUUCGUCCAAGGCCUUUCUUCGCUCUUCAUAAAUAUCAAGCUUCUCUUGUUCAAGCUGUGCUGUCCCUUCAAAGAUUCUUUCCACGAUCACUUUAAGCUCCUCCUUCUUAUUCAUGACAUCACUCUUAAAACGUUGAACUUCCUCCUGUUGUUUUAUUAGAUUUUCCUGCCCAAUUUGGAGAUCAUCUGUCAAUCGUUUCAGGUCACUGUCUAGAAGCUCUUGUUGUUUCUGUUUUUGGGCCAUGUGUUGUAUCUGUUUAUGAAGUUCUUGGAUUUUCUUUUGGCCUUCAAGAAGUAAAUGGUCCAUAUUUUCUCUGUCAUUGUUCAAAUCGCACUGUCGACCAUAAACUUUGUCUUGCUUUUCUUGGAAUUCCGCCUUUGCCAUUUCAAGUCUAUCUUUUUCUACUUUCACAAAAGAUUGAUCUCUAUCUAGGAUCUCAGUUUGUUCCCGGAUCUUUUCUUUCUCUCUUUCCAGUGCCUCUGUUUCUUUCUGGAUUUCUGACCUCAUGAUCUCCAAGUCAAGGUUGUCUUUGUUGAUUGUUUCUUUAACUGUGUCCAGAUAUUUGCUUUGCCUGUCUACUGCUUCCUUUUCCGUAUUGAGAUCUUGUUUCUUCAGUAGCAGCUCCUCGUUCCAAUUCUUUUGCAUUUCUUGUUUUUGUACCAUCAUGUUCGAUUUCAUAUUGAUCAGAUCUUCUCUGUGUCUUUGUAUUUGUUCAAAGUGUGUGUCAAUCUCCAAUUUCUGCUUUUCCAUUUCUUUUUGCUGAAUUUCCAAGUUAGUUGUUCUAUUUUGUGCAUCCAGAAUCUUCUGCUCUAUGAAUUGCAUCUUCAUUGUAAUGUCUUGAUGUGUCUUUUCAACCAAGUCUUUUAUUGAGUCUUUCAUAUUUUGGUUGUGUCUCAUCGUUUGCAUGGCCUCUUCUUCUCUCAUGCUUACUUCCGAUAAAUCUCUUUCUAGCAUCAUCCUUUCGUCCAAGGCCUUUCUUCGCUCUUCAUAAAUAUCAAGCUUCUCUUGUUCAAGCUGUGCUGUCCCUUCAAAGAUUCUUUCCACAAUGACUUUAAGCUCCUCCUUCUUAUUCAUGAAAGCAAUCUUAAAACGUUGAACUUCCUCCUGUUGUUUCAUUAGAUUUUCCUGUCCAAUUUGGAUAUCAUCCGUCAAUUGUUUCAAGUCACUGUCUAGAAGCACUUGUUGUUUCUGUUUUUCGGCCAACUGUUGUAUCACUUUAAGAAGUUCUUGGAUGUUCUUUUGGACUUCAAGAAGUUCAUUUUCCAUCUUUUUUCUGUCACCGUUCAUGUCGCUCAAAGCUCUUUGCUUUUCUAUGAGAAGGUCUGUCCUCAAUCUAUAUUCAAUUUCCUCUGUUUGUAUUGAAAUGUCUUGUCCUAAUGUUAUUUGUUCCUCUCUGGGUCUUUGGAUUGAUUGAAAAUAACUCUCCAUUUUCACUCUAUGGUUAUCAAACUCCUGUUUCUUCAGUUGUGUAAGCAAUUUAAGGUUUUUUAUGUCUGCAUUUGAAUCCCGCAAGAUGUCCAUCUUUGUUUGGUGGUCUACUUGUGUCUUAUUUUUAAGCAUUUGUAGAUUAUCUCUGUGAUAUUGUAUUACGCUUGCUGUUCUUAUUAGCAUAUUGUCUUCCAUUUUGGAUUCAUACAGUCCUUUUCCCAUCCUAUUCCUGUCAUCUGCUAUUGUUUUUUGCUGUUUUAUAAUGUCACUCUUUGUCUUUUUGAGGGUUCCCUUCUCUCUUCUGAUAUUGUCCAUAUCAGCUUCGGCCUCUUGUUUCAUGUAGUUGACAUGUAUUUUUAAAUCUUCCACUUUGUCUCUUUCAAUUUGUAAGGUAUCCCGGCAGUCGUUUAAUAAUUGUUUGUUUCUUUCUAUUUCUUUAUCCUUAAGUUCUUGUUCUUUCUGUUUCAUUAUAAUACCAUUCACAACAUUCUUGUAUUCAGCCUUUCUCUUUUGAAUGUCAAGAGCAUCUUCUUGUAGUCUUUUCCUGUGUUCCUGUAUUUCAUUGAGGGCUCUAUUUAUAAUAGCCUGCUUGUUCGCCAGUUCCACCACUGUCAUUUCAUGUCUCUUUUUUUCCUCUUCCAUUUUUCUUUGGUGACUUGGCAGUAUAACCAUUAACCUGUGUAUAAAGGACUUCAUAAAUUCCCAUUCUUCUUUCUCUUUCUUUGUUUUCUCAUCUAUAUCAUUGGAUUUGAUUUGAAUGAUUUGUGUUUGGGCUAAUCCCAGCACAGUUUUACAAUUGUGUUCAUCUUGUGGAAGCAGUUCGAUGUUCGGUUUCACCUGACUUUGGGGUUCUCCCAAUUUCUCUUGAAUGUAAUCAGCCAAGUCCUCUAUGCCUCCUGCUGUAGGCUCUUGCAUUACCUCUACAUUUCCACUUUGUGGUGCCUGCAAUCUUGGUUCUGGCUUCCCUCCGGGGUUUCCUAUUUGCCCUUGCAGAUCUACCUUCAUAACCUCAGAGUCGUUUAUCUUCUCUUUGCUGCUCACCUCAAUCCUCUGUUCCACCACUUUCCUUUUUAGUGUUUCUUGCUCAAAGGCAUCCGUUUCUUUCUGUACUCCAGACAACGACCACAUCCUUUUAGCCUCUUGCUCUUUUCUAUUGACCUUCCGUAAUGUUUUUUUGUUUUGUUUUCUCUCCACUUCCAGCUCAGACUUAAGCAGUUCCAACUCUCUAAUCUCUCUUUUAGUCCUCUCAAAGUGGUCGUCAAGCUCGCUCCUCUUCUUCUGAAUAUCCUCCCUUGUGUGACUCAAAAUUUGCAUCUCAGUUUGGGCCUGUUGUAUCAUUUUUUCUAAAUCAAACUUUUCAAUCUGUAACUCAGAUUUUAGUUUCUCUAUGUUCAUCUUCUCAGUCUUGUUCUCAGCUGCUAGUGUUUCAAUCUCCUCUCGUUGUUUCUCCAGAUUGAGUUUUAGGGUUUUCAGAUCAUUCAUUUUCAUGUUUCCUCUCAUUUCCAUUUCUCCAAGAUCACUCAUAACUUGGUUAAAUUGAUCAGUGUCUCUUCUUUGUAAUUGUAUCUUGUCAAGCCUCCCAGUCUCUCCUUUACCAUUUCGAUUCUCAGUGUGUUUUCGGACCAAAAUACCAUAGCUUUCAUUGUUUUUCUUUUCGUUCUCAUUUUUCUCCUUUUCCUCAGCCAGCUCCUUCUUUAGACGUUCUAGUUUUAUCUUUAGAACCUCUAACUGAUCCCUUUCUCUUCUGAUCCUCUCCAUCCUAUCAUCCAGUUCUCUCCUUCUCUUUUGCGUAUUUGUUUGGAGGGAUUCCUUUUCUCUUUGAAUUUCGACCAACCGCAUUCCAACUUCCUCUCUUUUUCGUAUUUCCCUCUUAGAUGACCUAUCAUUUUCUUUUCUUUUUGUUACCAACUCUGCCUUCAGUAGCUCAAUCUCCCUUGUCUCUCUCUUGAUGUGUCGCAUUUUAUCGUCAAGUUCGUGGGUUUGUUUUGCAAUACCAUCCCUUGCUUUGUUUAUUUCUGUAUACAGCUUUUGUCUUUCCUUUAUCAGGCUCUCUCUCUCGGACUCAACCUGAUGUUUCAACAUCUCCAAUUCCUGUCUUUCAGUUCUGAGACAAGCCCUUAAUAUUUGAAGGUCCUCCUUUUGUUCGUCCAGAGCAGACUCAGUCUCCAUCUUCUGUUUGGGUUGGCCUUGAAGUUCCGCCAUUUCUUUAAUUUCUCUUUCUCCUUGGUCUAAAUUGGCACUGAACUCAGUUUUCUCAUUUGUUUCUUCUUUGGAUACAAGUUCUAAAAUAUCUUGCUCUUCUUUCUCCAUGUCUCUUUCUUGAAAUUGCUGCCUAUCAUUUACCACUUCUCUUUCCUGUAGUUUAACCUGUGCUAGAUAUGCCUCAUCUCUAUCGAUAUUGGAGUCCAUGUCUACCCUUUGCUGACUGAUUUCUCUAUUGACUUUCUGAAGCUCAACGGUUUUCUGGCAAAUCAUAUCAAUGACACUUUCUAAGCUUUGUUUCUCUGCCUCAAUCUUGCAGUUCAAACCCUUGAGUUGUGUCUGUUUUACUUGGUAUUCCUCUAACUUAGUCUUAAAAUGUGAAACCAUACGUUCAAUUUUAUGUUUUACUUUGGAUAUGUUCUCGAUCUGCUGGUCCACCUGCACCUUCUUCUGAUGUAGUUUCAUUUUUAAAAUGUCCAAUUCAUCCCUCUCUCUGAGAGUUUUCUCUCGUCGCUGGUCAAGUUCUCUCUGCUGUUUCCUAAUCAUCAUUUGAAUCCAUUUCAUGUCAGUCCUCCCUUUGCUCAGAUACAUUUCACUUUGAUCCAUCGCAUCUUUAACUUUGUUUAGGACAUCUCUGAUUUGUUGCAACAGCUGCAGCACUGAUCCCUCAGCGUUCCCGCGGACCUCCGUUGGAGCCAUGUCAAUGCAGCUUUCUUCAGUUUCUUUCAAUGAUAUUUGUUCUAAUGAUUCUUGUAUUCUGUUAAUCUCCCGAAUCAAGGUUUGUAUCCUGGCAUUUCCUAACGCCGGUGGCCCCUCUGAUUCACGUUCUAUCAAAUUUGCUGGUUUUGUUUGGUGUUCAGUUGUUAAAGACGCCACUGGCAUUUCAUAUUCAACAUUCUCUUCUUCAUAACUCUGUCUGUUAACCUGUAAACGUACUCUGUACUGUACUGUCUGUUUGAUCUGCCCGAUUGAUCUAUCACCGUGAUUUCCUACGUCCCUAUUGUCUGACCCAUCAUCAGCCCCUUGCAGAUAAAGGUUGCUUAUAUCCUCAAUCAGUCUUUCCAUCUCUUUGUGGUUUUGUUUUAAGUUGUCCAUAGCCCCUUUCACUAUCUCCUCUUCCUCUCCGAGUUUUGAGACAUAGCUUUCGGUUUCCGUCCUAUCCCUCACAGUCCUUUUUUGUUCCGUUUUAUCCUGAAAUCCAGCUUUUGAGCUGUGUUCAGGUGAAUCCAUAUCCUGCUUAUCCUGUGUAACCACCCUUGAUGGUUGAAUUCCCAGGCUUUCCUUUUCAAUUGUUGAAUACUUACCAAACGUUUGUUCUUCCUCACUUCGUUGACUGACAUCAAGAAAGGUUUGUGUUGCCUUUUCCCGUGCAGUUGGUUGAUCAGGGAGAAUACUUUUUUUUGUUGCCUCCAUGGGGGUGUGAUCAAUCCCUGCACUCGUACUCUGCAUGUCCCCUUUCAUCUCAUCUAUGACGCCCAUGUUAGAACCAGACUCCUUAGUCUUCUGUUCCUCCUUCUCCAGCUGCAUUUUCAUCUUCAUCACCUCCAGGGCAUCCCUUUCCUGAGCAAUCUUCUCCAAUCUUUGGUCAAGCUCACGUCUUUGUUUCUGCGCUCUGUAAUUUGUCCACUUGGUUUGGCUUUCGUCCUGUUGCAUAUUGGUUCUCCCUUGCUUGGGUGUCUGUGUCACCGUCUUUAACACAUCUCUGAUCGCUUGCACUUUAUGAACCAACCUUUGGAUUUUUGCGUUCACUCUGAUCCCUUCACCUGCCCCCGCAUUCUCUGUAUCCGUAGCAAAUUUACUUGCAUCUUCCUUCUUUGACCUCUCUUUCUCAUCCAUGUCUUCUUCUACUUGCGGUACAGUUUCCCUUCUCUUGUCAGCAUCUUGCUGUUUCAUCAUGGUGCGCCUCAUACUUUUCUCCAGGUUACUUUUCUUUGUGUCAAUCUCAGUGUUCAAGACUUCCCUCUCUCGUAUCUGUCUUCUUGUCUUUUCCAACUUUUCAUCAAGCUCCAGCUGCUGCCUUUGAAUGUUCUCCUUCAUCUUUUUCACUUCGUCCAUCUCUGUCUUCACAAACUGCCUAUCUCUUUCUAUGCCAUCUCUCUGGGCCAUUAUUUCAGUUUUCACUCGGUCCUCAUUCAUUUCAUGUAUCGCUGCCGUCAUCCGAUCUCGGGGGGCUACAGUUUGCCUCUCUACAUCAUCUGUAAUAUGUUGUGACCUUGGCCUCAUCUCGGCUGUCAGUUGGUGUUCUGCGGGCCCCGGGGUUCUAGUCUCUGCGGAGACUUCCUGCCCUUCCAAUUCAAGCCAAAGUCUUUCCACUGCUGCCUUCACUCGGUUCAGUUCAUUCUUCAUCUUCUCAUACGGCUCAUUGUCGUCAGGCAGUCUGGCAGUGUGCGAGUGCUCCAUCUUGUUCUUGCGUUUCUCUGUCUCUCUGAUGUUUGUGCUUAUUUGAAGUCGCAUCCGCUUCAUUUGCUUCCUUAGAAAUGCAAUUUCAUACUUUGCCAUCCUGAAGUUGUGUUUUAUUUCAGCAAUAUAUUUUUGCAUUUGUCCUUCCACUUGCUUCGCUUCACCUACUCUUCUCUUGUUUUCCUGAAUGUGACACUGGAUGUCAGCCUGAAUCUUUAUGAAUGCAUCUUGCAGUUGUUUAUUUGUUUUUGUCGGUUCUGUGUGCCUUAUUGGCUUAUCAUGCAUGAUCAGUGCUUUGAAUAUUUCUCGCUCAUUCAUGAACUCAUUUCGCCUGCAGUCUAUAAGUUCUCUUUCUGUUUUGACAUCAGCCCAGACUUUUUCAAUUAGCUCUUUUUCAUUCCUUAUAUCUUCCUUGGUCUUCUGCAGUUUCUGAAUAGCACCGCCUAGCUUAACUUCUAAACUCAUUAUCAAUAAAUUCUGCUGUUGUUUUUCUGCUUUAAGUUGAACAAUUGAUGAUUGUUGGUCUUCAUUUCUUGCCUUCAUCUGGACAAUUUCAGCCUUUUCUGAUUUAGUAUACUCGAAAAGUAUUUCAAUUUCUUUGAUAGCUUGCAGUGUCUCUUGUUUUUGUUUUCUUAGAUAGUACGUCUUGCUUUGCGGGUCAAAGGCGACUACUUUUUCUUCCAAUUGUUCAGGAUUUUCCAAGGAGUUACUCUGCUCGGUUUGGGUCAUCUUGGAGUUUACUUGUCUUUGCUCUUUAAAUGGAAGUAAUACAUGAUCAAUUGCUUUAAGCUUUAGCCUCAUAGUAACUUGUUGUUCCAAUCAUUUUAUUCCCAACAUUACUAUCACACAGGGAUAAUAAAAUGUUUGCAUUGAAAAAAUAUAGACUCAAAGAUGGUAGAACAACAAAUAAUAUUUUGAACCGUAUUUAAAUAUUACAAUUUAGGAUUUAUUUUCUGGCAAUCGGCAUACCACGCACAAAUGUUCAAAAAACGAAUGCAGGGUCAGUUGAUGGCCUUGAAAUAUGCAUCCUAUUCUAUUGUCUUGGCCGUUAAAACACAGAUAUUCCUCGAUUUAUUUUAUAUAAACCAAAAAGAAAACUCACCUGAAAUUCCUACAAGCUCAGGCUCUUUCAGCGCUAGUAUUUGGUAGAAGGCAUCUUUGGCUUCAGAUGUCCCCCUUUCCAUAGCGUGAAACAGCGCCCUCAGCUGAUCUUGCGGGGUAUGAGCUUCGUUGAUAGAAAUCAGGUCCUCCUCGGAUGAUAUCAGCUGCUGUGCAAUGGAAGCCUCAACAAUGGCUUCAGCUGAUUUUACCCCAGCAAGGAGUUUGUCGCUGAUUCCUUGCAGGAAUGUGCCCACUGGAAAACACAUUGUUGGUUUUAUGAAUUAAAAAAUAAUAUAUCCACCAUAUUUAGCUUUUGCUUUUUUAAUAUAGUUUACCGUUGUAUUGAUGUUUCGCCAUGUUUUAAUGGUGAAAUGGAUGUUAAGACCCCUGCAAAACAUAUCAAAGAGGAAACAUUCUAAAUAAUUUAUAAAUAAUUGAACAUAAAUAAUUUCAAUUCAUGAAAAAAAGAAAAAAAUAUAUGUAAAGAAAGAUUUUCUAAAACUCUUUAGGUUCGUGUUCUAUGUAUU